CUCGGGGGCAGCGGAGAACCCGGACGGAGGAGCGGCGGCGCCCACCGGCAGGGCGGACGGAGACCCGCAUCCGAGGAGGCUGAAGUCAGAGACAGACGGAGCGGGUGGCCUUUAGACGCCACCGUCCGAGCUCGCCCGCAGUGGACCCCGCCUCGCCUGCCCCUCCGCCCCGUCUCAGGAGCCCCCAGGAGAGCGGCUGCCCGUCCUGUUAGGAAGGCCUCCGUUCCGCCCACCUGCUCCGUAUUUCCACCUCUGAAGAUGCAGAAUGAGUUCCUCCCCGGGGGAGCAAACCCACCCAAAGGGCCCUCACCCCUACCCAAGAACGCCCCAUCCGAACAGCCCCCGUCUGCCGCGUGGGGACAGCAGUCCCAGAGGUGCCUGGCGCGCGACACCCUGGGCGUGCCUCCCCGCGGGAAGUGGGCUUUGGAGAGGUGUGCUGCGUUGGGAAGCCACUCGCUGGCUGUCACCUUGACUCCUCCUGGCGAGUCAGCGGACUGUCCAUCUCCUAGGUGCCGCCGCGCUCGGGCGUGUAGGGUGGGGCGGGGAGCCGCGGGCACGACCCGAGCUGGGCAGGACUCGGUGAGCUGGAGGGUCACGGGGCAGACAGAAAUGGUCCGCUGUGCUUGGUACCCACCGAAAGAAUGUAUCUCAAAAGAGCAGGAGAAGGAAGAAAAGAGAAAAGAAACCUCGAUGUCCGCGGCCAGGGGAGAACGCGCGGCUGUGGGGUCCGAGCCCCCGGAACAGCCGCUCACACCGCGGGCCUGUUCGCAGGAAGCUGCUGGGAAGGCAGCCCCGGGUCAGGGCCCUUGGAGCGAACCCCGUAUUUGCUUUCAUGAAUAAAUGUGGAUCUUUGGGGAACGGCUUCGGAAGGAGCCGCAAACACAAACUCUUUGUAAAUUAUGUAAAUUCCUAUUUAUCUGUGUAAUUGGGAACAACUGGGGCUGCCCGAAGGGUCACCGCCUCUUUCGGCCACACUCCCUCCUCCAGCCGUGCCGGGGUGAGCUCUCCGCGGGGGACAGGCCCCCGCCCCCACCUGUGGCACAGACCAGAAUUGGGGUGCAGCGGGGGAAACCAGGUGGGAGGGGCAGCAUCGGCCUGGACCUAAUGAUCACUUCCCUCCGCGUGGCCCCGAGUCAGGAGAAGCGGAUGUGGACCCCGAGGCGGCGGAAGGGCCGUGGCUGGCGCGUACCGUUUAGAGAAGCCCUUAUUUAUUGUGGACCUCUCUCUCCUCCGGCUGCUUCCCGGGGCUCUGUCCGGACGCCACGCUGCCCUGCGUCGAGCGCUCAGAUUCUGUAGAGCUGGAAUUAACGUUUUUAAAACACGUACCCACUGGCUCGGGGGCAAGGCGCCCUCUGGGGAGACGCCCGAGCACGGCGCGAACACUCACGAAAGGCUGGCGAAUGCAUAAUAAAAAGAGAUCUCGACGUU